rnacentral:rRNA from 1 species
UCGCCUGUUUAUCAAAAACAUGGUUUCUUGUUAUAUUUAGGAAAUCUGACCUGCCCACUGAAAUGAUUUUUUGAAGGGCCGCAGUAUUUUGACUGUGCAAAGGUAGCAUAAUCAUUAGUCUUUUAAUUGAAGGCUGGUAUGAAUGGUUGGACGAGGUAAAUAACUAUCUUAUAAUAAUUUUAUUUGAAUUUGGGAGUUAAGUAAAAAUACUUAAAUAUUAUUAAGGGACGAGAAGACCCUAUAGAGUUUAAUAUAUUAAAUAUUAAUUGGGUUAAUAAUAUAAUUUUUGAUUAAUAUGUCAUAUAUUUGGUUGGGGUGAUUAAAAGAUAAAAAUAACUCUUUUUUUAUAUUAAUAAUAUAAUUAAAUUAGGRAUCCAUAUUUAGUGAAUGAAAGAUUAAAUUACCUUAGGGAUAACAGCAUAAUUCUUUUUGAGAGUUCUUAUCGAGAAAGGAGAUUGUGACCUCGAUGUUGGAUUAAGAUAAAUUUUGGGUGUAGAUGUUUAACUAUUAGGUCUGUUCGACCUUUAAUUUCUUACAUGAUCUGAGUUCAAACCGGAGA